CCUACGGGUGGCUGCAGUGGGGAAUAUUGGACAAUGGGCGAAAGCCUGAUCCAGCCAUGCCGCGUGUGUGAAGAAGGCCUUCGGGUUGUAAAGCACUUUCAGUGGGGAAGAAAGCCUUGGGGCUAAUACCCUCGAGGAAGGACAUCACCCACAGAAGAAGCACCGGCUAACUCCGUGCUAGCAGCCGCGGUAAUACGGAGGGUGCGAGCGUUAAUCGGAAUUACUGGGCGUAAAGCGCGCGUAGGCGGUCUGAUAAGCCGGUUGUGAAAGCCCCGGGCUCAACCUGGGAACGGCAUCCGGAACUGUCAGGCUAGAGUGCAGGAGAGGAAGGUAGAAUUCCCGGUGUAGCGGUGAAAUGCGUAGAGAUCGGGAGGAAUACCAGUGGCGAAGGCGGCCUUCUGGACUGACACUGACGCUGAGGUGCGAAAGCGUGGGUAGCAAACAGGAUUAGAUACCCUUGUAGUC
rnacentral:rRNA from 1 species